ACUAAGAGUGGAAGCAACGAGGCGGAGGUCAAAUUUGGUCGCUUGCCGAUCUACAGGAUCGGUGGGACCUUCGUGGAGCGAGCGAAACCGGCCACAGAGC
rnacentral:ncRNA from 24 species